rnacentral:rRNA from 1 species
UAAUACGUAGGUGGCGAGCGUUGUCCGGAAUUAUUGGGCGUAAAGAGCGUGUAGGUGGGAUCAUAAGUCUUUUGUCAAAGUGCGGGGCUCAACCCCGUGAUGCGGAGGAAACUGUGAUUCUUGAGUGCCGGAGAGGAAAGCGGAAUUCCCAGUGUAGCGGUGAAAUGCGUAGAUAUUGGGAGGAACACCAGUGGCGAAGGCGGCUUUCUGGACGGUGUCUGACACUGAGGCGCGAAAGCCAGGGGAGCGAACGGGAUUAGAUACCCCGGUAGUCCUGGCCGUAAACGAUGGGUACUAGGUGUAGGAGGUAUCGACCCCUUCUGUGCCGGAGUUAACGCAAUAAGUACCCCGCCUGGGGAGUACGGCCGCAAGGUUG